GUCACCGCCGGUGCUGUUCUCGCUCUUUGCUCUACUUUGAUGGGCUCAAUUCUCCCACAGCCUAGAAUACUAAUGGCAAUGGCUAGAGAUGGACUGCUUCCGUCGUUUUUCUCCGAUGUUAAUAAACGCACACAAGUUCCAGUCAAGAGCACAAUCUUAACGGGGGUCUGUGCAGCCGUCCUCGCUUUUUUCAUGGAUGUUUCUCAGCUGGCCGGAAUGGUCAGUGUUGGUACACUU
rnacentral:misc_RNA from 1 species